GGGAAAAAGCCAAGAAGGAAAAGAAAAAUUCCCGCUGGCACAUCCGAUACACCUCCUGAAUUUUUGGGGAGGGGAAAUUUUGGACGCACAGAUUCCCAGAAAGGCGAGGGCACAUCUUGCUGCUACCCGCACAGCACCCGGCACACACGCUCUGCCGGCCGCCUGACAUUUCUGUGCCGCUCUAAGGUCCCGGCCGUGCUCCGCCGGGGGUUCCCCACUGCCCGCAGCCCCACGCCGCGCACACGGAACACCUGGGGGGCUGCGGCUGCGCCCGGAGACCGCAGCGCCCCCCGCUCCGCUGCCCUACGGGGCUGCGGGCGGUGCAGCUCACCUGGCCAUGGCCAGUUUCGCCACCCCCGCUGCCAUUUGUUGCUCGCUUUCGGAGGGAGCAGCUCUACUCCCCAUCACCGCCGCCUGCUCCGUAGCAACUGGUCCGGAUAUGACUGUGCUGAUUACAUCUUGUUUCAGAAGCACAAGCAGCAUUCAGUGAAAACUACCUCCUUUUAGACAUGCAAAUUGCAGAUUGAAGACAGUGACUUUUCCUGCUCCCAAGAAAUGCACUGCUCCUCUGAGAAGAUCAUGAAGAGUGGCUGGAUUUUUAAAGGAAGCAGCAAGUAUAUAGGAGAGUCAUUACUAGAAGACAAUUGCCUUGUGCAAUUUCCUCAACUCAGAAGUCUUCCUGGACUCAGUAAAGACAUGCAACAAAUAAGUAAUUAUCUCAAGAAUUAGAUGUACUUAAUCUGUGCUUUUAAUUAAAACUAGAUGAAAUUCAAAGCUGAAGGUUCA
rnacentral:lncRNA from 1 species